rnacentral:rRNA from 2 species
UACGUAGGGGGCGAGCGUUGUCCGGAUUUACUGGGCGUAAAGCGCGUGUAGGCGGCUGUUUAAGUUGGGUGUGAAAGCCCGGGGCUCAACCCCGGGACGCCGCCCAAGACUGGAUGGCUUGAGGACGGAAGAGGGGAGUGGAAUUCCUGGUGUAGCGGUGAAAUGCGUAGAGAUCAGGAGGAACACCCGUGGCGAAGGCGGCUCCCUGGUCCGUCCCUGACGCUGAGACGCGAAAGCGCGGGGAGCGAACGGG